AUGAACGCUGGCGGUCUGCUUAACACAUGCAAGUCGAACGGGGGUAGCAAUACCUCAGUGGCGGACGGGUGAGUAACGCGUGAGAAUCUGCCUUCAGGUUCGGGACAACCACGGGAAACGGUGGCUAAUACCGGAUGUGCUUUACGGUGAAAGAUUUAUCGCCUGAAGAGGAGCUCGCGUCUGAUUAGCUAGUUGGUAGGGUAAAAGCCUACCAAGGCGACGAUCAGUAGCUGGUCUGAGAGGAUGAUCAGCCACACUGGGACUGAGACACGGCCCAGACUCCUACGGGAGGCAGCAGUGGGGAAUUUUCCGCAAUGGGCGAAAGCCUGACGGAGCAAGACCGCGUGAGGGAGGAAGGCUCUUGGGUUGUAAACCUCUUUUCUCAGGGAAGAAGAAAGUGACGGUACCUGAGGAAUCAGCCUCGGCUAACUCCGUGCCAGCAGCCGCGGUAAUACGGAGGAGGCAAGCGUUAUCCGGAAUUAUUGGGCGUAAAGCGUCCGCAGGUGGCUCGCUCAAGUCUGCUGUCAAAGACCGGGGCUUAACUCCGGAAAGGCAGUGGAAACUGACAAGCUAGAGGGCUCUAGGGGUAGAGGGAAUUCCCGGUGUAGCGGUGAAAUGCGUAGAGAUCGGGAAGAACAUCGGUGGCGAAAGCGCUCUACUGGAGAGCAACUGACACUCAGGGACGAAAGCUAGGGGAGCGAAUGGGAUUAGAUACCCCAGUAGUCCUAGCCGUAAACGAUGGAUACUAGGCGUGGCUCGUAUCGACCCGAGCCGUGCCGUAGCUAACGCGUUAAGUAUCCCGCCUGGGGAGUACGCACGCAAGUGUGAAACUCAAAGGAAUUGACGGGGGCCCGCACAAGCGGUGGAGUAUGUGGUUUAAUUCGAUGCAACGCGAAGAACCUUACCAGGGCUUGACAUGUCCGGAACCCUGCUGAAAGGUGGGGGUGCCUUCGGGAGCCGGAACACAGGUGGUGCAUGGCUGUCGUCAGCUCGUGUCGUGAGAUGUUGGGUUAAGUCCCGCAACGAGCGCAACCCUCGUUCUUAGUUGCCAGCAUUAAGUUGGGCACUCUAGGGAGACUGCCGGUGACAAACCGGAGGAAGGUGGGGAUGACGUCAAGUCAGCAUGCCCCUUACGUCCUGGGCUACACACGUACUACAAUGCGACGGACAAAGGGCAGCAAGCGAGCGAUCGCAAGCUAAUCCCACAAACCGUGGCUCAGUUCAGAUCGCAGGCUGCAACUCGCCUGCGUGAAGGAGGAAUCGCUAGUAAUUGCAGGUCAGCAUACUGCAGUGAAUCCGUUCCCGGGCCUUGUACACACCGCCCGUCACACCAUGGGAGCUGGUUUUGCCCGAAGUCGUUACCCUAACCCGCAAGGGAAGGGGACGCCGAAGGCAGGGCUAGUGACUGGGGUG
rnacentral:rRNA from 1 species